rnacentral:lncRNA from 1 species
UUUUUUCUUUUUUUUUUUUUGCUUUUUAGGGCCACACUCGAGACAUAUGGAGGUUCCCAGUACUCGAUAGUAAGAAAUUAAACCCCAAUCUAAAAAUGGGCAUGAAACAAGAUAUUUUACCAAAGAAGAUACAUGAAUGGUAAUAAGUACAUGAAAAUAUGCUCUAUGUUAUUAGUCAUUAGAGAAACACAAACUGAAAAUCACAAGAUACCACAUCUAUGAGAAAAGCUAAAUCACAACUGAUCAUAACAAGUGUUGACAAGUGUCAGAGUCUGAAUUGUGUACCCCAACUUCAUAGGUUGAAACGCUAGAACCUCUGGGUCUUUAAAGAGGUGAUUAAGUUAAAAUGAGGGGCCCAAAUCUAAUGACGGGGUGUCCUUAUAAGAGGAAAUUCAGAAAAAAAAACUACCAAGAAAAGACCACACACAGAGGUAACAAGAGAGCAGCCAUCUACAAGUCAAGGAGAAAGGCCUCAGCAGAAGGCAACCCUGCCAAAAUUUAAUCCUGCACUUUCACCCUCAAGAACUACAAGAAAACAAAUUGCUGCUGUUUAAACCAUGCAGUCUAUGAUAUUUGAUUAUGGCAGGCUAGCAAACUGAUACAGCAAGCAUGUGAAGAAACUGUUUUAACUCUCAUACUGCUCAUGGAAAUGCCAAAUGGUGUAACCACUCUGAAAAAUAGUAAUGAUGUCUUAAAAACCUUAAAAAUAUACCUACCAUAUGAUCCAGCCAUUCCACAACUGGGUAUUUACCACCUCCCUCAAAGAAAAAGCCCAAAGACUGUAUACAAAUGUUUAAGGCAUAUUUAUUUCUAGUAGUUCCCAACUAGAGUUUCUACAAUGAACAGAUGAACAGACAGACAAACUAGGGUUUCUUUAAUGGAAUACACACAACAGGGUGAAUCUGAAAAUAAUUAUGCUGAGUAAAGGAAAUUAAGCAGAAUGGAGCAUAUAGUGCAUAAUUUCAUUAACAUAUAAUUCUAGAAAAGGUAAACUAAUCUAUAGUGAAAGAGGAGAUCAGUGGUUACCUGGGGAUAGCAAGGGAUAACAAGAAAGGGUUAUAAAGGUGCACAAGGGCUUUGUAGUGAUAGACAGAUGUGCAUUGCAACGGUGGGAUAGAUAUUUCAAGACAUGAAAUUACAUACGUCAAAUGUGUGUUGUCUUCUGUAAGUCAAUUAUAUUUCCUUUUUUUUUUUUUUCCCCAGCUUUUUGCGAUUUUUCUUGGGCCGCUCCCUUGGCAUAUGGAGAUUCCCAGGCUAGGGGUCUAAUCGGAGCUGUAGCCACCAGCCUACACCAGAGCCACAGCAACGCGGGAUCUGAGCCGCAUCUUCUACCUAAACCACAGCUCACGGCAACGCUGGAUCGUUAACCCACUGAGCAAGGGCAGAGAUCAAACCCGCAACCUCAUAGUUCCUAGUCGGAUUCGUUAACCACUGCGCCAUGACGGGAACUCCAUCAAUUAUAUUUCAAUGAAACUGUUAAAAACUUACAUAUAUGUGUAUUAUACAUUUAACACUACAAAGGAAAAAUGGACACAAAAUCAUCCAUCAAUAAAGGUUUCUGGAGUUCCCACUGUGGCACAAUGGGAUUGAUGGUGUCUGCAGCAGCAGGGAUAUGGGUUCAAUCCCUGACCCAGCACAUUGCCACAGUUGUGGUGUAGGUCACAAUUGCAGCUCAGAUUCAAUCCAUGCCCGGGAACUCCAUAUGCCACAGAGUGGCCAAAAAAGAAAAAUAAAGUAAAAUAAAUAAAUGAAUAAGGGUUUCCAACAAAUUUCUUUCAGGCCUUGACAGAUGGAGUAAGUAAAAAAUUAAGAAUACAGGGAGUUCCCAUCGUGGUGCAGUGGAAACGAAUCUGACUAGGAACCAUGAAGUUGCAGGUUCAAUCCCUCGCCUCACUCAGGGGGUUAAGGAUCUGGCAUUGCUGUGGCUCUGGUGUAGGCCGGCAGCUGUAGCUCUGAUUAGACCCCUAGCUUGGGAACCCCCAUAUGCCGCAGAUGCGGCCCUAAAAAAAAGACAAAAGACCAAAAAACAAAACAAAACAACAACAACAACAACAACAAAAAACUAAUAAGAAUGCAGGAAAACAUUAAGUUGGAAAAUACAAAUGCAUAUUCACAAUGUAACUCUACAAGAAGAGAAUUUCUCCUAUUCAAGGAUUUACAAUGCUACACAAAGAGUGAAUGAACACAUUCGACCAGUAAAGAACAUCUUAACAAAUUAUAAAAAGAAAAAAAAAUUCAAAUAUUCUAAUCAUGAUACAAUAAAACUUAAAAUUCCUGACAACAACAAAGACACCCCAAAAAAAGCCACUAACCUAUCAGAAUUUAAAAUACUCUCUAUAUAAUUGAAUGUUAGGCAAAGGGGGAAAUCAAAGACACAAAAAUAGAUUAUCUAGAAAAUGGUAAGUAAAAUUAAAACCCACCAGGAGUUCCCAUCGUGGCACCACCGAAACAAAUCCGACUAGGAACCAUGAGGUUUCGGGUUCAAUUCUUGGCCUUGCUCAAGUGGGUUAAGGAUCCAGCAUUGCUGUGAGCUGUGGCGUAGGUUGCAGACUUGGCAUUGC